UGAGCAAUCUGCCCUUCACAUCGGAAUAACCAUUGGAAACGAUGGCUAAUACCGAAUAUGACUUCGGAUCGCAUGAUCUGAAGUGGAAAUCUCCGGCGGUGAAGGAUGAGCUCGCGGCCUAUCAGCUUGUUGGUGAGGUAAUAGCUCACCAAGGCGAUGACGGGUAGCCGGCCUGAGAGGGUGACCGGCCACACUGGGACUGAGACACGGCAGA
rnacentral:rRNA from 1 species